rnacentral:rRNA from 1 species
GGGCCCGCACAAGCGGUGGAGCAUGUGGUUUAAUUCGACGCAACGCGCAGAACCUUACCAGCCCUUGACAUGUCCAGGACCGGUCGCAGAGAUGUGACCCUCUCUUCGGAGCCUGGAGCACAGGUGCUGCAUGGCUGUCGUCAGCUCGUGUCGUGAGAUGUUGGGUUAAGUCCCGCAACGAGCGCAACCCCCGUCCUUAGUUGCUACCAUUUAGUUGAGCACUCUAAGGAGACUGCCGGUGAUAAGCCGCGAGGAAGGUGGGGAUGACGUCAAGUCCUCAUGGCCCUUACGGGCUGGGCUACACACGUGCUACAAUGGCGGUGACAAUGGGAUGCUAAGGGGCGACCCUUCGCAAAUCUCAAAAAGCCGUCUCAGUUCGGAUUGGGCUCUGCAACUCGAGCCCAUGAAGUUGGAAUCGCUAGUAAUCGUGGAUCAGCACGCCACGGUGAAUACGUUCCCGGGCCUUGUACACACCGCCCGUCACACCAUGGGAGUUGGUUUUACCUGAAGACGGUGCGCUAACCCGCAAGGGAGGCACCCGGCCACGGUAGGGUCAGCGACUGGG